UCCGGGGGGUGCGAGCGUUGUCCGGAAUUACUGGGCGUAAAGCGUGUGUAGGCGGUCCGAUAAGUCGGGUGUGAAAGCCCUGGGCUCAACCCAGGAAGUGCACUCGAAACUGCCGGGCUAGAGUAUCGGAGAGGUUGGUGGAAUUCUCGGUGUAGAGGUGAAAUUCGUAGAUAUCGAGAGGAACACCGGUGGCGAAGGCGGCCAACUGGACGAAUACUGACGCUGAUGCGCGAAAGCGUGGGGAGCAAACGGG
rnacentral:rRNA from 1 species